rnacentral:misc_RNA from 1 species
GAUGAAGAACGCAGCGAAAUGCGAUAAGUAAUGUGAAUUGCAGAAUUCAGUGAAUCAUCGAAUCUUUGAACGCACCUUGCGCCCUUUGGCUAUUCCGAAGGGCAUGCCUGUUUGAGUAUCAUGAACACCUCAACUCUCAUGGUUUGCCAUGAUGAGCUUGGACUCUGGGGGUCUUGCUGGCCUAUGGUCAGCUCCUCUCAAAUAAAUCAGCUUGCCAGUGUUUGGUGGCAUCACAGGUGUGAUAACUAUCUAUGCUUGUGGUUUUCCAUCAGGUAACCUUCAGUGAUGGAGGUUCGCUGGAGCUCAUAAAUGUCCCUCCUCAGCGAGGACAGCUUUUUGAACGUUUGAUCUCAAAUCAGGUAGGACUACCCGCUGAACUUAAGCAUAUCAAUAAGCGGAGGA